GCAGGAUGACGGGGAUCAGAGAUGUAAUUCAAAUCAUCUGUUCCCACUUUGUAGACGGGCGGGAGCUGAUGAACGAGGAGCCUCGUUGCAUAUUCAGAGACAGUGAGCGUCAGUGUCAAAGGGAUGUCAGCGGGACGAGUUUCCCCUUCAUCUGUUCACCUCUGGACGGGUGGCCGUGAACCCCCUUUACUGUGUGCCGAGGCUCGGGCCAGCUACCGAUGCCUUCCGUCGGAAGCAUCGCUUCGCACUGCCAGGCGUGUUGGUCUCAAGGUUGUCCUCGGCGCCGAAUAUGAGCCUCAAUAAAAUUGAUCCGUACAUAUCUCAGCCGGAGACAGAUGGCUGUUGGAUAACAGUCGAGCUCUCGAGGAUGCAGAGCUGAGAAAUUUACACAUCAAAAAAAAAAAAAAUGGAGUUGGCAACAUUUCUGCUCAGCUACCUCCCCGAAGUGGACAUCAAGCCUCGGGACCUGUAAGUAAAGCCUUACGCCGGGCACGGUGGGGCUGGUAAACAGAGAUGAUCUGCUCCCGAAAAACCUUGAAAUCACCCGACCUCAUCCCCGGGGCUGAGGAGGACAGAGUGUGUGUUAGAGAGAGAUUCUGCGAGGAGAAGAAGAGGUGAGCAGAUGAGGGCAAGGCACAGGGAAAAUUUCAACAAUAGCGUGUUAGUGUUUUUUUUUGGGGGGGGGUCAAGAAGAGAAGAAGAGUGGUGCACUCGUCUGUGUUGAAGGAGGAGGCAGGAGGGGGUGGAGCGGCUGGAAAAGAGGCCUCCAAUAAACUACCUCCGCUUGCUCACCUGAUGUAUGUUUACUGUGAAGUGGUCUGAAUCAAAUGGCGAACAGACAAACAGCUAAUCCUCUGCAAGUGCAUGAACUCCUGACUGCGCUCAGUCUUUAAACACUGAUUUUAAGUUCAGGUUUGUCAAGUUUGCAUUCACGCUAGCUAGACCACUAGCCUAUUUGGUGUCAGUCGCAAACCAGACAUUUUAUUUAUCAAUUUCUUGAGAAGCAUUUUAAUGAUUGAUUUAUUUAUUAGCCUACUGUGAGCUAACCUCUAUUUUAACCACAUAUCUUUGAGCCAUCUAUUUCAAGCAUUUACUUUAAGCUUUGACAACAGAUUCAGCCCCAUCCACCAUUUUGAUUCCUCAAAGACUUGUUCCAGCAUGCCUCCCUUUUCACUUACUGUUAAACUAAUACUUUAAGCCAUUUAGCAAGCAUUGUCAUGGAUCCCACUGCUUUUCAUGCAAGACCUGCAGCGAUUGCAGCUGUUUUACUUUCCUGUUUUAGGCCUAUUCAUUCAUUUAAGCUAACAUUAAGCAAAUUCAAAUGUUUGUAAUACUCUAUGCUAACUGGUUAUUCCUACUUCAAGCUAACUUUUAGGAAACUAUUUCAAUGGUUUCUUCAUUUAGGCUAACAUUUGAUUAAAUCAGCUGUUAAUACCAGUGUUGGCUAAAAAAUUCAACUGUAUAUGUGUCACUUUAAGCUAACUUUUA